rnacentral:rRNA from 1 species
GACGAACGCUGGCGGCGCGCCUAACACAUGCAAGUCGAACGAGCGAGAGAGAGCUUGCUUUCUCAAGCGAGUGGCGAACGGGUGAGUAACGCGUGAGGAACCUGCCUCAAAGAGGGGGACAACAGUUGGAAACGACUGCUAAUACCGCAUAAGCCCACGACCCGGCAUCGGGUAGAGGGAAAAGGAGCAAUCCGCUUUGAGAUGGCCUCGCGUCCGAUUAGCUAGUUGGUGAGGUAACGGCCCACCAAGGCGACGAUCGGUAGCCGGACUGAGAGGUUGAACGGCCACAUUGGGAAUGAGAAACGGACCAGACUCCUACGGGAGGCAGCAGUGGGGAAUAUAGCACAAUGGGGGAAACCCUGAUGCAGCGACGCCGCGUGAAGGAAGAAGGUCUUCGGAUUGUAAACUCCUGUUGUUGAGGAAGAUAAUGACGGUACUCAACAAGAAAGUGCCGGCUAACUACGUG